rnacentral:ncRNA from 1 species
GAGUAGGAUAGGACUUGGAAAAGUAAGUGAAAUGAUGGGUACAGAAAGUUCUGAUUGCUGAGAAAGAACCCCCGCUCUUUAACUGAACCUACCAAACGAAGUGAUUAUGAAAAUAAUCCGGUGAAAUCAUCGUUAUCAAUGUUAAAGAGACAUUUACAAAGUAAGUGUAAUUAAGGUGGUACCGCGAGUCAUUCGUCCUUUUU